rnacentral:tRNA from 1 species
UAUAUUUUAGUAUAUGAUGUACAGGAAUUUUUGAUGUUUCAGGGAGUAGUUAAAUUCUACUAAAUAUAA